rnacentral:rRNA from 1 species
UACGGAGGGUGCAAGCGUUAUCCGGAUUCACUGGGUUUAAAGGGUGCGUAGGCGGGCCGAUAAGUCAGUGGUGAAAUCUCUAAGCUUAACUGGGAAACUGCCAUUGAUACUAUUUGUCUUGAAUACAAUUGAGGUGGGCGGAAUAUGUCAUGUAGCGGUGAAAUGCUUAGAUAUGACAUAGAACACCGAUUGCGAAGGCAGCUCACUAAACUGUAAUUGACGCUGAGGCACGAAAGCGUGGGGAUCAAAC